rnacentral:misc_RNA from 1 species
GAUGAAGAACGUAGCGAAAUGCGAUAAGUAGUGUGAAUUGCAGAAUUCAGUGAAUCAUCGAAUCUUUGAACGCACAUUGCGCCCUUUGGUAUUCCUUAGGGCAUGCCUGUUCGAGCGUCAUUUAAACCUUCAAGCUAAGCUUGGUGUUGGGUGACUGUCCGCUUCACUGCGGACUCGCCUCAAAAUUAUUGGCGGCCGGUACAUUGGCUUCGAGCGCAGCAGAAACGCGAACUCGGGCCCGUCGUAUUGGCUCCCAGAAGCUAUCUUCACAAUUUUGACCUCGGAUCAGGUAGGGAUACCCGCUGAACUUAAGCAUAUCAAGCGGAGGA